GAUGAACGCUGGCGGCGUGCCUAAUACAUGCAAGUCGAGCGAACAGACGAGGAGCUUGCUCCGCUGCCGUUAGCGGCGGACGGGUGAGUAACACGUGGAUACCCUACCUAUAAGUCUGGGAUAACUUCGGGAAACCGGGGCUAAUACCGGAUAAGAUAUUGCUCCUCAUGGUGCGGUGGUGAAAGACGGUUUUGCUGGCGCUUGUGGAUGGGUCCGCGCCUCAUUGGCUGGUUGGUGGAGUAGUGGCUUACCAAGGCUGUGACGGGUAGGCGGCGUGGGAGGGUGACCAGCCACAUUGGGACUGCGAUACGGACCAGAAUCCUACGGGAGGCAGCAGUGGGGAAUAUUGCACAAUGGGCGGAAGCCUGAUGCAGCAACGCCGCGUGCGGGAUGACGGCCUUCGGGUUGUAAACCGCUUUCGCCUGUGACGAAGCGUGAGUGACGGUAAUGGGUAAAGAAGCACCGGCUAACUACGUG
rnacentral:rRNA from 1 species